rnacentral:tRNA from 1 species
CAGGGGUUAUUUUAUUAAAAUAUCAGCUUUGGGUGCUGGAGAUAAGAAUUAGUUUCUUACCCCUGA